rnacentral:tRNA from 1 species
GCGGACGUGGCUCAGCGGUAGAGCAUCGCCUUGCAAAGGCAAGGGUCGCAGGUUCGAUUCCCGUCGUCCGCUCCA